ensembl:lncRNA
CUGGGGGGAGUUGCGCCGCGACGCGCACCGUCGCUUUGCAGGAGCGCUGCGGUGCGGUGACUCCCAGCGCCGGUGCUCAGAGCCGGGCGGGAUACGGAGCGCUGCGGGAAGGAUGCGGUCCGCAACAACGCACCCCGGUAACGCGGGCUGCUAGGAAAAUAAAAGUUAUCCAGACUCAAAACACACUCGUCAAACACACCGAAAAGUUUGAAUUAUUUAUUUCCUCUGGGGACUCCUGUAACCAUUUAUUUUUAAUAGAGCCUAAUUAAGAGUUCCCCAGCGGGUUUUACUUUCGUAAAUAUUUCAGAUGAUUUCGAGCUUCCGGGCAAAUCCUCCAGAGGAAAAGGAAAAUGUAAUGAAAGAAGCGAGGCGCGGAGUUUCAGCCCUUCCCUCCCGUCGGCCGAAGCGACAACAAGUGGCCGCCGGGCGCGAGCAGCGCGGCCCCUUCGGAAACGGCCCGGGGGCUCCGAGGAGGAACGAAGAUACACCGCGACGCGACGGCUCCGGGCCCGGCCGAGGAGAGGCUGUGCGGGACGGGACGCAGCGAGCGGCGGAGCCGCCCCGCACAACCGGCGCGUAAAGAGUACGGAGAGCUCUUCGUUUUAAAGAUAGAAGAAAACGAGGCACAGGGAAAGGAGAUUUUUCGAUCACUUUUUUUUUUUUUUUUUUUUUUGGAAGAAAUCCGGUAAACAAAACAAACAAACAAAAAAUUAAAACUUUUCUUCGUCUGAUAUGUCAAAACAUCGUUCACAGUAAAAUUCACAAACCGAUUUACAUAAGUUUACAGCUUAAGAAAAACCCAGACACACAACUUGCUAUAAAUAAAAGAAAGGGUUUGCGACCCGCACAGCUCUCUCCCACCGCCCCCUUUCCGUAGGAACAAAACCCUAAAGUUAAAAACUCUACGAAUUGCGGACACGAACCGAGCGGCGCUCGGCAAGGUGGGAAGAACAACACUUUCAGUAACCACAACGAAAAUGUAAACAACGGAACGACUGAGUUUGAAAACAACGCCCGCCGGGUCGGUUUUUCGUUUUGUCAUUGCAACGCUAAAAUGGAACGGGGCGAUGCACCAUCUUUAAGACUCGGAAGCGAACAAAACUACGCCCAACCCCGCGGAGACCGGGAGAGUCGCCGUGGCUUAAGAACUUCGCGGGGCUUUAGGAGGCGGUUGCACUCUGUUAAAAGAACAGAUUGCCCAAAUCGUUUUUUUUUUUGUACAAAAGAAAAAAGAAAAUGAAGACAACGAACGGAUUUUCUGUUUAAAAUUUCUCCCAAGUUAGUAUCGAGUCUGCUGAGCCGCACGUCCCGGCGCUGGGGUUGCGAUGAGGAGCCGUCCGGAGGAGGCCAGUUUGUUUAUAUGUGAGUUAGUGGUACGGUGCCGUUCACGGCAGUCCCGGCACUCUGGUAGUGCUGGUGCACACUGUGCAACCUGCUGCCCUGCAGGGCCGAAGGGUCUGUGGCGUCGCCCCCCGGGGGCAGGUACAUGCUGAUCAUAUCCCGCAGGUCUCCCAGGCAGGCCCUCUGCGAGUGCGAGGUGAUGGCCGGCGGAGGCGAGCUGGGCUCGGACUUCACCACCGAGCCCAUGGAGCCCAGGCUCAUGGCCGUGGAGGGCUGCUGGCCGUAGGCGGCGGGGGACAUGCUGUAGGUGGAGGCGGCGUUCAUGUAGGUCUGCGCCGUGGACAUCAUGGGGCUGUACUGCAGGCCCGGCAUGUCGUAGCGGUGCAUCUGCUGCAGCUGCGGGCUGUUCAUGCCCGGGUGCUGCCCGUAACCCAGCUGGUCUUGCAUCAGGGAGUAAGCCCCGUUGGUCCAACCGUUCAUAUGGGCGUAAGUGUCAAUCCUCUGGCCCACCCCGACGGGGCUGCUCACCGCGUUGCCCCCUCCGGGGGCCAGCAGGUUGCCCGGCAGCGAGUAUUUGUCCUUCUUCAGCAAGGUCUUGGUCUUCCUCCGGGGCCGGUAUUUGUAAUCCGGGUACUCCUUCAUGUGCACGGCCCGCAGCCUCUUGGCCUCGUCGAUGAAGGGCCGCUUCUCGGCAUCGCUCAGCAGCUUCCAAUCGGCCCCGAGGCGCUUGCUGAUCUCCGAGUUGUGCAUCUUGGGAUUCUCCUGGGCCAUCUUCCGCCGCUGGCCCCGGGACCACACCAUGAAGGCGUUCAUGGGGCGCUUCACCCGGUCCUGGUCCGACCCGGCACCCGCUCCGCUGCCGGCCCCGCCGCCGCCUUUGCCGUUGCCGCCCGGGGCCGGGUUCCCCCCGGCGCUGCCCGGCGUGGGCUGCGGCGUCUUGAUCUCGGUCUCCAGCAUGCUGUACAUGGCCGGGGCCGGUAAGAGAUGCGCCAGGGUGGCAGACGGGCGGGCACAGCUCGGGGAAAGGAAGUUCAAAAUAAUAAGAGUAAAAGAAAGAACCGGUCCGGGCGGCGGCCGCAGGAGGGGGAAGGAGUUUUCCCGUGCCGCUCCCCGAGGUGCAGCGGAGGUUCCCGCGGGCAGCGCUGAGCGACGCGCACACCUCUCCCGGGGGCAUUUGAUUGACGGGCUAUAAAUGAGAGGGCGGUGGCCAAUCAGCGAGCGGUUCCCGACAGCCCCAACGCCGGUAAUGGGUCGGUUUGGAGAGGACGGGGAUGGGCGAAAAGUUGGUGUUUGGGGACUGCUGGGACCGAGCCCCUCCCGCCGCAACCCCCGAGGUGCCGGACCGGCAGCGGGCACUCCGCGGGGUGCGGAGCGGGCAGCGGGGAUCGUGCAGCUGCCGGCGGGGCUGGGAGCCGGGAUGCGGAGCCGGGGUUGCGGAGCGGACGGGAGGACCGCCGCGAGCGGAUCCACGAGUUUGGCGGGCACAAAGAAAUCCGAGGUUUCCGGCUGGAUCCGCCGCCUCGAGACUGUACGAACAGCUGUUCCUGUAGCUUACGCAGCGGAUGAAGGCGACGAGAACUAAAACUUUCGCCUCCGGAGCGGUGUCUGCGUAGGGAAGCCGCCCUGCCCUGCCGGCACCGGGGGCGGCUGCCGGGCGCUCCGUUCAGGUGCCAGGCGGGUGCCCCGCCGCAGCACCGUGCCCCCCUUCGUGUCGCUGAGCCGGGUUGGAUGCCGGCAGGACGCUCCCGGCCCCCCACCCCUCGCCGAACCUCGGCCACUUGUGUUUUUUCCAUUCGGCUGCUCCAGGGGGAGGGGGAAGGGGGAUGGUACUUUGUAAAAACGGUUUUCAUGGCAACGGCGAAGUUCCCUCCGUGUGAAAGAAAACUUGGGAAAGCUGGGGUGACCGGAGAGGAGCUCCCUGCAGCUGUCAAUCACGGGCUUCCCUUUCCGUCCCUCCCCUCCCCUUCCCUUUCCUUCCCUUCCUCCCUCGGAGGCGCGAACGCCCGCACCUACGCGGCCGGGGCCGGGAGCUCCCGAAAGGCACACAGCCUGUCUGCGCUCUUUCUCCUUCCUCAUCCUCCCGCCGUGUCCCGCUCCAGCUCCGCACGGGCAGAGGCACGGGACAGCCCGUUGCCGGCGGAGAUCCAUCACUGCCGGUGCUUUGCGAUCAAACUGCCCCGGGGGCGCGGGACUGGGCAGAGGGCUCGGAGCAGACGUGCCUGGGCACCCCGUCCCCUCCAGGGGGGGCGGCGAGGAGGGAAGCUGCAGCUUGGCAGCCCUCGCGGACACAUCAUUUAGCAUCCCACGGUCCAAGCUAUUAUAAGGCAAUAUUUCUCUUGAAACAUCACACAUCUCCUCACUGAUGAAUAAGAAGCAAGAAGGGGUAAGCAGGGCACCCAGCUCGGAACCUCUCGAUAAUGGUUCUGCCGCGAUCUGAACUCUCGAGAGGAGAGGCAGAAGGUGCUGUCCCGCGAAGCCGCGUUCCUCCCCCGCCGCGUGCCAGGGGAGCACCUGCGGCCGGAUUCCCAGGGAGUGGGGCUGAGGAGUGGUGCGGGUCCGGGCAGAACGAAGUGAGGCUCAGCCGUGGCUCUGCCACCAGCAUCACUCUGCUAACGCAAGGGACCCUCUCCUCGGUUGGAAGCUACAGAUCUCUGCUGAGGCAGAGUAGGGAAGGAAGGGAAAGAGAGGCAAGUCCCGCUAUACAAGCUGUUAUUUCCAAAAACGUCUUGCCGAGCGCUUUAAAAGGUCCGAUCCCAGCCCCAGCCUGGUUCCCGGUCCUUCCCGUGAGCAGAGUUGCUGCCAAGCAGGGAAAGGGCAGAAGCAGGAAAGGUGGCAGAGAGCGCCCGGUAUGGGGCUGGGGAGCACCACGCCUGGAUGGAGCCAUUUUCCUAAAUUCCCUCCUCGGCUGUGGUUGGGAUGAGGAGAAGCCGUCUGGGGCUGAGAGCCCCCUGUGCCCGGUGGGAGUUGGAGGCACUCAUAGUGGUGUCACGUCAAACCAACCUCUCCAGCUGCCUUGGACCGAGUUCCCAUUGCAGCUGGGGGUACAAACCACCACAGCCCUGAACGGGUCCCCUAUCCCCGCUGCGGCUUCACCCGUACCCACUGCAGAGCACAACAGCGAUUGCAGCAUCCCUGCUGCUCAUCUGCCCCAAAGCACGAGGGAUACCUUUGAUGAUAUCAUUAAAACCAGCAACAUUUAAAAACAAAAAUCUCACGACCGUGGGUAAAACCCGGGCAGUCGUUUGGGUGCAGCUCGGUUCCUUUGAACCGAGCCUCCCAGUGCACUCAGGGGGCAGCAGCGAAUGUUGUUUUUAAUCACUUUUUCCCCCCAGCUGAACUUUUAUUUGGCUUCUACCAACAAUAGCGGGCUGCAAACAGACCUCUCGGAGCGCCGCUGAAUAGACUCUUUUCUGGCCCGGAUUGUUUCCACCGCCACAAAAACAACCAGGAGCUCCGUGUCUUAAUUGGGCUGUUCCCGGCCCUCGCUCAUUCAUUCAGGUGUUCGCCAGGAAUUUGUUUAUUAGCCUCUGACAAACAGCUCCUCCUGGUAAUCGCCUCAUGGGGUUGGCUUCUGCGGGAGGGGAGGGAUGCGGCGGGGGGGCAUUGCUAAUAAGGACCCCUCAUCUCCAAGUUACCGAUUUACAGAGCUGCAGAGGGGACCACCAACACAGGACGUCUCCCCACGGCUCUCUGUGGAACCCCGCGGAAACGAGAAGAGAAAACACCGAGGGAAAAAAAAAAAAAAAAAAAAAACGAGCACGAAAGCCGGUGCUAAAGACGGCGGCAGGAACUUCGUGCAGCUCCCCCCGCUAUUCCCAGUCCCACAUGUCGCCCCCCGAGCGCAGCAGCACCGUCCGUGUCCCGCCCGGUCCCACCCAGCCCCGGGGGACGCGGGCACAGCGCGGGGCGGAGCGGAGCAGAGCGGCCCCUGGUGCCCACGCAGCGCCCUUUGCCGCGGGUGUCCCCAACAGCCCCAGGGGCUGCGGGUAUCCCCACUCGCGGCGCUUCACCGACCCUUUCCCCCACUCUCCGGUGGCAGCUGAGCGGUCGCAGAAGUCAUUCUCCAGGAAAACAAACCCACUCGAUCACCUAUUUUUUACCCAUCGAUAACUCGGUGAAUCCUUCCCGCAGUGUUUUCCGUUCGGAUUCAGUAACGCACCUCAUUUGCUGGCAAUGAUGGUGAGGCGUCUUGUUUAUGAGUCAUAUUAGAAAUGCGGCAUUAAUUGCAAAACUCUAACUUGCUAAUUAGCCGCAAAUAAACUAUUAAUUAGUGGCAAAUUAAAUCAAAACACAUCUUAUUUCUCCCCUCUGACACACAAUUUUGCAGGCACAUAUUGUUUCAAACUGCAGCCUGUAUCACUGGCACAGCAAAUAGAGAUCCUGAAAGGUUUCUCUUCAGGACAAAUAAUUAAAAUAUAUUCUCCUUUAAUUGACAUUAUAGAGGACACAAAUGAGGUUUUCCUUUUAGAAAUAAAUAGCAGUUUCUAAAUAAAGCUCUGCGGGCUGCAGAAUGGAGGUUUCAACCAAAUGAAUAGUCAUUACUACCUUUUCAAUGAUGUGGGCCUUUUGAUCAGAAAAGAAAUUAGCUCUAAAGGACAGACAAUAGGAAGCCUGCCCUGCAAUAGGAAGAAAAUUAGAUGGCUAAGGCUCUUAACAACACCUAUUUCUAUAAACCAUGGAGCUUCUUGCUUUUCAAUUACAGCUGUUCAUUUCAUAGAAGAAAAGUGGAAAAACACAGGGAAUAUAAACUCUGUUGCACCAAGCAGCCCAAAGCCGGACCGGGAGAGUCUUCCCGUUUCCCUUCCAUUUUAGUAGAAUCAGUUAACAAACACUGUAUGUUUUAUGACACCAAGAGCAUCCAAUAUAGCGUUCUCUAGGUCAAACAAACAAUCAAGAUGGACUAUAAUCAUUAAUUUGGGUAGUUGGAUGUUUCCACUGCACACCAACUAACGUAUUUCACACACACAUCACAUCCUUGUCCUCUUUUCGUGCAGAAAACGAAACAAGAAUGGUGAGCUUGAGGAAAAUGAACUGCUAAAUAACACCACUGCCUUUUGGUUACAGAAAAAUUAAUUUCACUUCCCAUGAAUUGGAAUGUGCAUUCUUUCAUUACACUCCAAACGGAAAGAUUAUUUUAGACUCGUUCUCCCCAUAACGCUUUUAACUCAAGCAUCCCAGUUAUUUUAGCAAUCCUACUUUUACUUUCAUUUUAAAACUUAACAAUAACUUCAAUAACUUUAAAAUGUGUUCUCUUCCAAAAUAUUUCAUUUGGAUAUUAUUUUCGGAACACUGUUUUUCUUUCUUCCAUUUAAAAUGUUUUCCCACGAGUCCUAGAAAAGCACAUGGAAGCACACCUUUCUUCCUCCAGAACUUCUCCCUACUCAUACCUUCAUGAUGCAAAUGGCUGACAAUUUUCAUUGACUAUGCAUGAUACUGUAAUGGAAAUAAUCUUUCAGUGAUUAUUUGAGUAAGUAACAGCCACGAAGCUUUGUUAUAAACAAGUCCUGUUCUCAUAUUAACUUGUGAGACUAUAAAGAUCUCCUUAGAAAUAAAACAUAACGUCACA